UAGAGUUUGAUCCUGGCUCAGAAUCAACGCUGGCGGCGUGCCUAACACAUGCAAGUCGUACGAGAAAGUCCGCAAGGAUGAGUAAAGUGGCGACCGGGUGAGUAACACGUGACUACCUACCUUCUAGUGGGGGAUAACUCCGGGAAACCGGAGCUAAUACCGCAUAACAUCGCAAGAUCAAAGCAGCAAUGCGCUGGAAGAGGGGGUCGCGGCUGAUUAGCUAGUUGGUAGGGUAAUGGCCUACCAAGGCAAAGAUCGGUAUCCGGCCUGAGAGGGCGCACGGCCACACUGGCACUGACACACGGGCCAGACUCCUACGGGAGGCAGCAGUGGGGAAUUUUGCACAAUGCCCGAAAGGGUGAUGCAGCAACGCCGCGUGAGGGAUGAAGGCCUUCGGAUCGUAAACCUCUUUCGAUCGGGAAAAACGGCCCUGUGAAGAGCGGGGUCUGAUGGUACCGGAUGAAGAAGCCCCGGCCAACUACGUGCCAGCAGCCGCGGUAAUACGUAGGGGGCGAGCGUUGUUCGGAAUUACUGGGCCUAAAGGGCGUGUAAGGCGGGUCGUAAUCUGGGCGCGAAAUUCCCCGGCCUUACUCGGGGGGGGCGUUUAUAACUGCCGCGCUUAGGUGGUGAAAAGGGCACGGGGACUCCCCGCCGACCGGUAAAUUGCGCAAUUUCGCGCGGCCCCGUGGGGUCGCCGCGCGCCCUGUGCCGGCGGCGAGGACGGCGGCUUAGGAUUAGGGUGGGUAGGGCGUUGCUCUUCUGGGUGGCGGCUGNCCUAGUCUAGACCUGGGNGGGAAACCCAGCUGNGGUGCCCGNGCACUGGCGCGCAGNCGGAUCAGAACGGGCAG
rnacentral:rRNA from 1 species